rnacentral:rRNA from 1 species
GACGAACGCUGGCGGCGUGCCUAAUACAUGCAAGUCGAACGAACUCUGGUAUUGAUUGGUGCUUGCAUCAUGAUUUACAUUUGAGUGAGUGGCGAACUGGUGAGUAACACGUGGGAAACCUGCCCAGAAGCGGGGGAUAACACCUGGAAACAGAUGCUAAUACCGCAUAACAACUUGGACCGCAUGGUCCGAGUUUGAAAGAUGGCUUCGGCUAUCACUUUUGGAUGGUCCCGCGGCGUAUUAGCUAGAUGGUGGGGUAACGGCUCACCAUGGCAAUGAUACGUAGCCGACCUGAGAGGGUAAUCGGCCACAUUGGGACUGAGACACGGCCCAAACUCCUACGGGAGGCAGCAGUAGGGAAUCUUCCACAAUGGACGAAAGUCUGAUGGAGCAACGCCGCGUGAGUGAAGAAGGGUUUCGGCUCGUAAAACUCUGUUGUUAAAGAAGAACAUAUCUGAGAGUAACUGUUCAGGUAUUGACGGUAUUUAACCAGAAAGCCACGGCUAACUACGUGCCAGCAGCCGCGGUAAUACGUAGGUGGCAAGCGUUGUCCGGAUUUAUCGGGCGUAAAGCGAGCGCAGGCGGUUUUUUAAGUCUGAUGUGAAAGCCUUCGGCUCAACCGAAGAAGUGCAUCGGAAACUGGGAAACUUGAGUGCAGAAGAGGACAGUGGAACUCCAUGUGUAGCGGUGAAAUGCGUAGAUAUAUGGAAGAACACCAGUGGCGAAGGCGGCUGUCUGGUCUGUAACUGACGCUGAGGCUCGAAAGUAUGGGUAGCAAACAGGAUUAGAUACCCUGGUAGUCCAUACCGUAAACGAUGAAUGCUAAGUGUUGGAGGGUUUCCGCCCUUCAGUGCUGCAGCUAACGCAUUAAGCAUUCCGCCUGGGGAGUACGGCCGCAAGGCUGAAACUCAAAGGAAUUGACGGGGGCCCGCACAAGCGGUGGAGCAUGUGGUUUAAUUCGAAGCUACGCGAAGAACCUUACCAGGUCUUGACAUACUAUGCAAAUCUAAGAGAUUAGACGUUCCCUUCGGGGACAUGGAUACAGGUGGUGCAUGGUUGUCGUCAGCUCGUGUCGUGAGAUGUUGGGUAAAGUCCCGCAACGAGCGCAACCCUUAUUAUCAGUUGCCAGCAUUAAGUUGGGCACUCUGGUGAGACUGCCGGUGACAAACCGGAGGAAGGUGGGGAUGACGUCAAAUCAUCAUGCCCCUUAUGACCUGGGCUACACACGUGCUACAAUGGAUGGUACAACGAGUUGCGAACUCGCGAGAGUAAGCUAAUCUCUUAAAGCCAUUCUCAGUUCGGAUUGUAGGCUGCAACUCGCCUACAUGAAGUCGGAAUCGCUAGUAAUCGCGGAUCAGCAUGCCGCGGUGAAUACGUUCCCGGGCCUUGUACACACCGCCCGUCACACCAUGAGAGUUUGUAACACCCAAAGUCGGUGGGGUAACCUUUUAGGAACCAGCCGCCUAAGGUGGGACAGAUGAUUAGGGUG